AAGUCGAACGAUGAAACUUAAAUGAUUUCUUCGGAAUGAACUUAAGUGGAUUAGUGGCGGACGGGUGAGUAACGCGUGAGUAACCUGCCUUACACAAGGGGAUAGCCGUUGGAAACGACGAAUAAUACCCUAUGAAACUAUCACUUCGCAUGAAGCGAUAGUCAAAGUGUUAGCGGUGUAAGAUGGACUUGCGUCUGAUUAGCUAGUUGGUGAGAAAAAAGCCCACCAAGGCAACGAUCAGUAGCCGGCUUGAGAGAGUGUACGGCCACAUUGGGACUGAGACACGGCCCAGACUCCUACGGGAGGCAGCAGUGGGGAAUUUUGCACAAUGGGGGAAACCCUGAUGCAGCGACGCCGCGUGAUUUAGAAGGCCUUCGGGUUGUAAAAAUCUUUUGUAUAGGAAGAAAAUGACAGUACUAUACGAAUAAGGUCCGGCUAAUUACGUGCCAGCAGCCGCGGUAAUACGUAAGGACCGAGCGUUGUCCGGAAUCAUUGGGCGUAAAGGGUACGUAGGCGGGUCAUUAAGUUAGAAGUCAAAGGCUAUAGCUCAACUAUAGUAAGCUUCUAAAACUGGCGACCUUGAGUAAUGGAAGGGAAAGUGGAAUUCCUAGUGUAGCGGUGGAAUGCGCAGAUAUUAGGAGGAAUACCGGUGGCGAAGG
rnacentral:rRNA from 2 species